CUUUGACCUCGGAUCAGGUAGGGAUACCCGCUGAACUUA
rnacentral:rRNA from 1 species